rnacentral:rRNA from 1 species
CGGCGGACGGGUGAGUAACGCGUGGGUAACCUGCCUCAUACAGGGGGAUAACAGUUGGAAACGGCUGCUAAUACCGCAUAAGCGCACAGUACCGCAUGGUACGGUGUGAAAAACUCCGGUGGUAUGAGAUGGACCCGCGUCUGAUUAGGUAGUUGGUGGGGUAACGGCCUACCAAGCCGACGAUCAGUAGCCGACCUGAGAGGAAGGUCCCCCACAUUGGAACUGAGACACGGUCCAA